rnacentral:lncRNA from 1 species
ACUACAUAUUGGAUCAAUGAAUGAAUGAGGAGAAGAGGAAAACAGAAAGCCAAGUAGAUGGAUAGGAGGGCAUGGAUUGUCAGGUUUCUGAGAGGCAACCUUCAGGACCAUGUCAUGGUGCAAAGAGGAUGAGGCUCCUUCCUACAGUGUUCAUGAGAAAAAUGCACAAAAUCCCGACUGACCGGAAUAAUUCAUGAAGAAGGGGCUGAAUCCGUGGGUCAGAGAACACAGGACCAGUUUGCCAUCCCAAGGCGGAAGUCUGGUGACUCGGAUUUGGCCCUGCGUUUCCCACUCCUGCUGCAUCUUACCCAGUCGAGGAACGAAAGGUCUUGACACCUUCCUGAAGCAUGGGAAGAAAGGAGGUUCUGAAAGCACAGAUCCAAGACCACCAGAGGCCGGGGACAGCGAUUCCUGGAGGGGCCGCUCACACAACACCAGGAGCUGAGGAGAACUGGAGCAGGAGGAACAUGGGCCCAACAAGGGUGGAAAUACCAGCAAUUCCAAAAGUCAUCUACAUCAGUGCCCAGGACGCCCAUGCAGAACCCACUGAAUGGAAGAAAACGUGGUGGCUGCUUCCUCAAUUUGCAACUGCAGAAGCUGGAAUAAGGGCCUGAGAAGGCAGAGAAGCCACAUGAGUCCAGUCCCAAAGCUGUCAGAGUAACCCUGAGGGAACUGUCUACUGAAUUAUGACCAGUUGUGCCAACAGACAUUGAGAAGAGACCUCCUUUCCAUUGGCUCCUAUCACACCUGGCUGCCACUGCUCCUGGGAUCUGGACCAUCUUGUAUCCACCUUUGAGCGUCACUUCCUGUUUCAGCUGUGGGAGUUCUGGUCCACUUUCCCUGUGAAGAAACCUUCACUUUUUCCUCCUUUGGAGUUCUGGAUUAGACUCUUGUACCUGGAACUGGGUCAAGUUAGGCUAAACGCACCUCUAGGCAUUCCUGUUUCUCAGAAGUUGUCAAGUUCACAUCAUACCUGUUUCAUUGGUGACCAGGGGUCCACUUCUAGCAGAUGCUACCUGGCCUGGUCAGUAUUUUUCAUGGUCAUCUCUUUAGUGCCUUUAUCUCAUCCCCUGCCCAACUCAGGUGAGACUUGCCCAGUGGUGACUUCUCUCCUGGUACUUUAGAUAGGGAGAGAAAAUGUGGCUUGGUGGAUCUGCCAUCUUCUUCAGUUUGGAGGCAAUUGGAGCAUGGCUCCAUCUAGGGAGGAAAAUGACUCCGAAAGAGACUGUCCUUAUCUCAGCUUCUGCCCUGUUCUACUCUCACAAUCCUUAUUCUUGCCCUUUGUGCCUGUCCUAAUGCAGGAGAAUUGUGGUUUUCUUUUUUCUAUUAAAUAUAACUGUAGCUAUUUUCAUUAUUGCAAAACAGCACAAGCUUAUUACGAAAACAUGAGAAAUAUAGACAAUAGAAGACAAAAAAUAUUCCCAAAUUUUAUCCCAAAGACAAGACAACUAUUGAUUCAUAUAGUUAUACAAUAUCAUACACAUAUACUACAUAUAUUUAUAUAUUUAAUGUGACUAUAAUAUCACAAUACCAUUUAUAUUCUUUGAUAACACAUCUUGUCAUUUAAUGUCUUAUGAAUAUAUUUCUAUAGCAACAAGCUCAGCUAUACUGAAAUUUUAAGAGUACUCAAUUGUAUAUAUGCCCUCAUUUAUCUCAUCUCACAUAGUUUAAUGUUUAGGCUGUUACCUCCUUUUCUAUAUUGUCAUUAAUGAUCAUGGAUUUAGUUUAAUCUUCCUAUAAUUAUUUCCGUAAGGUAAAUCCUUAGAAAGGGAUCGAAGGAUGAGUAGUAAAGGUUGCAAAGCUCUCCGAAUCUGGAGCCAGCAAUAACUGCUCAGACUCCCUUAAAAAUAAGAGCUCUAGGAAGGCCACACAUGCCCUUUCCCAGAUUCCUUCCCAUAGCUACACUUGGGCAGCCCUGACUUCUUUCACCUUGCCCUGAACGGAGAAUAGCCCUGAGAGAUGGCUGAGGAACAGGUAGUGAAUGAGCGAGUGGUGGUGUCAGUUUGGGUUUGGUUUUUGGAUAAACUUCACAGUUCCUCAUUGGAUGCUGAGAAAUGAUUAUUCAUUCAUGACCCAUUUAUGGAAGAGCCAUUGCUUCCAGAUGCCAGGCUAGAGGCUGAGAAGACAGAGAUGGAUUAAACAGGAAUUCUUCUCUCAGGAAUAGCACAGCCUAGGGAAGGAAGGCCCGUGAUAGACAGCACACAUUUACUCCAUGAUAAAGAGGAAACGUAUAAGAUCAGUAAUAUAUCUCAGGGAAGAAAACUGGAACCAUCUAAAAUCCCACAGGGAAAAUAUGAGGUUCCUGCAGUCUACUAGCCCAUUCAUCUCAGCUAACACCUUUGUGUGGAUCCUUUGGUGGUGAGACUUGCUCGCUUGUGGUCAUCCUUGCUAAACACAACCUGCCCAAAGGCAUUGACCGUGUCCUUCCUUUGCACCUCUAGCAAACUGGUACCAUCUUAUACCAUGGCUUCUGAAAUCUGUUCAGUGUAAAAUCCAAAUUAGAGUAAACAAAAUUAAAGGUAAAGAGAUUCAUGAGUUGAAACAAAGACUCAAUGUUUUAUGUAUGUAAGAAAAUUUGCAUUAAUUCAUAUCCUUCUGCCUGAUAGAAACUUUCUCAGAUAUUUCAUUAUAGAAGAAACAAUCACAUUCCAGAAAAUGUGGGAAGUAGAGAAAAGGAGAAUUAUCAGCCCAUCUCACCAUCCUAACCCAGGGCAAAUAGCAUUCUAGUGACCUUUGCCCUGAAAAAUUUGUAUUAAGAUGGUGUUGAGGACAAGAGCUAAGGAACAUGUGAGUUUUUCAUCUCCAAUUUUAUUGUGAAUAAAUAUAUCUGAUAGUGAAUUAUAUUCAUGUAGUUCAAAAUUCAAAAACACAAAAACAGAGACUGAAAAGUCCAUGAACCCCAGCCUCUAUUACUUGGAGACAUCCAGGAGUCUCAGUGUCUUGUGUAUCCUUCUAGAGUUUUUGUGCAUAUUAAACCAUGCGUGUUUAUAAAAUAUGAGUUUUGACUAGAGGGCUUUGGCAAAACUGUUACCAAAUGUCCUAAAUUUAGCUAAACUAUCUUCAGUAAUUUUAAUGGCAGGCCUGAGGUACAGAUGGAGAAGAGAAAAGGAUGGAGAGAGCGAGAGAGAGAGAGAGAGAGAGAGAGAGUGCUCCUGAGGGAGAGCGUGAAAGAAAGAGCAAUCUUUCAUUUAUCCAACUAGUAUUUAUUGAGCAGAUAUUACAUCUCAGAUAUUAUUCUAUGCCCAGGUGAUACAAGAGUGAAAAAAAUUCCCUGACUUCAUGGGGAUUAAGAAUGGAAGGUGGCAAACAAUAACCAUAAUCAAAAAGUAAAUUAUAAAGUCCAUCAGAAUGUGAUAAGCGUUAUGGAAAAACACAAGUGGGGUCCAGGAGAUGAGGCACAUCAGGAGACAGUUUUAACAUGAGUGGUCAGGGAGGGCUUCACUGAGGAGGCCUUAAAGGAGGCGAGAAGAUGGGCCCUGCAGAUACUCAGGGAAAGGGCACUGCAGAGGGAAGAAGCAAUGCACAGGCCUCGCAGCAGAAGUCAAGGCCUGGAGGUUUCCAGCAGCCAACCUCCUCCAGCUCCGGGCUGUUCCUGGUAACCUGUGCCCGCAGCUGGCUUCCCUUGGAGUUCAGGUCAGGCCGGUGUGUUUGGGCCAUAGUGCUAAGCUUACUGUAUACUAGACGUCAGUUUGUCUUCUCUCUAAAUUUUGAUUCUGAUGCUUAAUUUGACUCCUUCCAAGGUGAUUCUGUGGUUAGUCUGAAUAAGGAAAGGAGAGGGGCAGUGUUAUUGUAGUAGGUAGACAAGGUUGACAUUUGGGGGUCCUGGCUUUUAAACCAAUUCUGUUUUCAAGUCUUUUGUCAGACACAUUAUUCAACCUUUCCGGUCCUCAGGUUUGUCUCUUAGGAAACAAAAAGAAUGUGCUUAGUUGGCUUUAGGGCUGUCCCUACCAUUGGUUUUCAAGCUCUGUGACCAUGUGAGCAGUCCAGGUAGGAAGUGGCAUCAGAUGACAUCUAGCAACACCAGGGGACACAGAGGAGCUUCUGCCUGCAGAGGACUGUGUGCAUGAUAUGUGCCGCCACCUCGUUUCCCUUCUAGACUAGAAGAGCCCAGACCAGAAGAGCCCAGACCAUCCUUCAAAUAGAAUAUUUCACCUGAAUAAGCCCAGAAUUCCCUAAGUGAACAGAGGAGACAUGGGGACACGGUUAAUUGCUUUGUUCUUGUGCCGUUGGCAGUAUGGUUCCCUUUAAGCCCAGAAGGGCUCCUUUCCCCUGCCCCUUGGCGGAGCUCAUUCUCCAUAGGCAGUAGGGGUGGCAUGCUGGGGCCAGGGCUCCUUGUUUUGUUCCUUUGGGCCACAGAGGUCCCCUCCCUGUUUAGUGUCUUCCAGUUGGACACAGGGAGUCUUCGUCUACCUGGGGAAUAAGACACUGAGGAGGAGGGAAGCGUGUCAUGGACACCACUCUCCUUCCAGCAAAGUCACUGUGAAUUUAAAACUCAGACUGUGUGUAAGAGGUUGUGGGGGCAGAAAGGGGCCUUUGGAAAUUUCAUUUGGAGGCAGAGGUGCUAAACAUGAAUAGAAGCCUUUGCUUUGACUCUCAGAGGGUGAGUCACCUUGGUUAUAGUUACUCUUGGUUAUUCCUUGCUUUUUCUUUUGUUAUCUCCGCCCGCACCCCCGCCAUACCCACCCAUCUUUAGCAUUCUUAGCUGCUUUUCUACAGGUCAGCUGAAAAGUGACUUGCAGAAUAGGGCUUCUCUUCCCCUAUUGGAGUUCAUGGGCAUUAUGUUUCCUAGCACUGGGAGGAAAUAUACACGACCAUGCACUUUCCACUCAUAAAGGACCCUGAGGUAUUUAAUUGUGAAAAUCAACUUCUGAUUUAUGUUACUUUCCCAGUGCCUUUUCUUUACACACAUAUGAAAAUUGCUCUAUUACUUCUUACAUUUCAUGCAGUGCCCUUUGUCUCCAUCAACUGUUGUGGAGAGAAAUUUUAUUUGGAAUAUUCAUAACAAGUCUAUCGCUAAUUAUCACUUUAACAAUGUGUUAUGGAGUGUAUCCAUGCAGUCAUCUGGAAAAGCACAUAUGCCAUGAAAUUUGGGGACUUGCUGUGUGCUGUAGGUGCCCAGUCUCAGUGUUUCAUCAGAUCUUUGCUUGGGGAGGAGGUAGAGGUGCUUUGUGAGGGAGUAUGGAGGCCUGCAUCCUGCAUUCCUGUCCUCAUAGCAACAGUUUCCAGGGUGACUUGUUUUUGAGUGUAAAAAAAACCUUAAUGUGAAACAAAAACCCUUCCCUACUCUGCAGCCCUAUUACGGUCAGCCCAGGUCAGUGCCAGGUAGACUGAUCUUAGCCACAGAGCUAAUCGCAGAUGAAGACCCUGCUGUUCUUGGUGCCAUCCUGGCACUCUGGCAAGAAGAGUGGAGCUAAAAUUGCCACCUGGUUGGCAGGCCUCAGAAGCAAAUGGAGAGUGACCUCAGCAUGUCAGAAUGAGAAAGGAAAGAAUGCCUCGGUGUUUCUUUCUUCCUGCUCUCUUUUCUCUGGGAAAGGAGAAUGGACUCACACUGGGUUUCUUCUCCAGGAUUCUCAGUGAGUCUGGGAUUUGGGAGGCUAGAAUCAUAUUUUUACCAGGACACAUGGAGCGCUUCCCUCUGAAGCUUCCUGAUGGACAUGGAUGAAGCCCCAGAGGCUGCCUCCAAAUGAGGGCAGAGUAAUGGAGCCUAAUGGAGCACAGCUCCUAGUCUGAGCACAGUCCUACCGCAGGGAUAAAUCAAGCAGCCUUUAGGUGGGGCCAGGAAGGGGACAGAGGGAAAUGAAUGACUGUGUUGAGCUCAGCAUGACUUUGUGGAUCCUCUGAAGCUUUUAACUAAGUGGAGGAUUCAGACUCAGGAAUUUACUGAGGAAUAUGACUUGGAAGGAUGGAAAGUUGCAUCUGUUAUAACAAGCUUUUAAGGAUGAGUUUUCAGAGCACUUGGAGCCUGGUUUUGUUGGAUGUUACUUUAGAAAUAAUAACUACUUAUUAUUUGUUAAGUGCUUACUCAGUACUAGGCACAUUGUUCAUCAUAAUCAAUAAUACCUAACAUUGAUGGAGUAUUUGUGAUGUACCAAACUCUCAAGCACUUUAGAUUCUGACUUAACUAGGUCCUAGAAGGAAGCCCCCAUUGGAGUCAUCACUAAUAUGUAGAGAAAUUGAGGCUCAGGGUAUUAGAUAACUUACCAGAAACACUAAGGAAACCAGUAGCUUUAGGUCAGUCACUUACCUGUUUCAGGACACAGAGCACAGAGGCUUUCCCCCUUUACCCUUUAUGAAACAGCAGGAGAGGACGGGGGCUGUAUCUCAGUGGUAGAGCUCUUGCCUAGCGUGUGCAAGGCUCUGGGUUUGAUCCCUUGUACCACAAAAACAAAACAACCAUAACAACAGCAAAACCAGCAGGAGAAAGUGCUGAGAAACAGCAAGAAAGUGGGGCACUGAAAGGGGACAGGAGUCUGUGUAGCCCUGGGUCAGUGCUGGUACAAAGCUGGCCUUAUGACCUGGGUGCUUUGCAUCUGUUAUAAUGCACUGUGAAAACCCAGUGUUAGCUGUUGUCCUAAAGAACUGAUUCAAUAAACCCUACAUUUCUGGACAUUUGGUUUCCUUGUUUCUAUUUGGGUGGCACUAGGAUUUGGGAGGAGCUAGUUGGGAAUGUAUUUAAGGAGGAAAACUUUGGAUGUGGUUUUAGAAACAAGGCACCACAACCAGACUGUGAUGCAGGCUUCAUCUGUGGACAGGUGUAUGUGGACAGGUGCAUUGUGCAGGCACCAGCGCGGGCAGAGGAAGUGGUAGGUUUGAAGGUAGCAAAAUAGGGCGGCUUUGUUGUUGUCUGGCAUGGGCCCUGCCAGGCCACAUCCAUUAACUAUGCCAACACCACUGCUAAUAGGUGGGUGAUUCAGCUCCUUCCUGCAUUUUAUUGCCCAACAGAGACUUUAAUAGCCUUUUGAUUUAGCAAGUUAACAAAGUAAGCUCUCAAGCUCCACUGUUUAACACCAGCUGGAUGACCCUGGGCCUGCUGCUGCCUGGAGCCCUCUGGUACAGUCUUUGCAUUGAAAGAAGAGAAAGCUGUGGAAUUUUCAGGCUCUCCUCGAGAGCUCCUUUUGGGGCAGCCCUGCCAGCCCAGCAUGCUUAGACCCCUCCGAUGUCAUAUGUCGCCCCCGCCCCCAUCAGUCCAGCCGCAGAAGAGAUCUGUCUAGAAGUUAAUAUCCCAGGAACCUAAAGGUUGGGUGUCUUUGAGGAAGAGUGUCAGAUGAGAAUGUGAGGGUUCCCGGAUGGGGCUCUUUAUUGAUUUCCUGGAACUAUUGUGUAACAAAUUAUCACAAACUGGAUAAUUUAAACAAUAAACACAUUCUACCACAGUUCUAAAAGCCAGAAGUUUGAACUCAAGGUGUUGGUAGGGCCAUGCUCCCUCAGAAGGCCCUAGAGAAGGACCUUUGCAUGUCUCUUACUGGCUUCUGGUGGUUGCCAGUGAUCCUUACUGUCCCUUAGCUCGUAGACACAUCACUCUGUCUCUGCCUCUGUGGCCACACAGCCUUCUCCCUGUGUACGUCUUAUAAGGACACAAGCUGUAUUGGAUUUGGGGUCCACACAACUCCAGGAUGCUCUCAUCUUAACUAGUUACAGCUGGAAAGGCCCUGUUUGAAAGCAACAUAAGAGUCUGAGGUUCUGGGUGGACCUGAAUGUCCAGGCCCUUUAAAAGCAAGUGAAAAGAGGUAGGCCAUGUGGUAGCUGAUUCACACAGCUAGAGAGAGGUGGUUUCAGACAACACUUUCUGGUACAACUUUGUGCAGUGAUGGGAAGGCCCUGUAGCUGCACUGCUGAAAAUGUGGCUAAUGCGACAGAGGAACUGAAUUUAGCAUUGUGAUUGAUUUAAAUUAAGUUAAACAGUCAAGUCAUGUGACCAGGGGCUACUGUUGCAGAGAGCAAAGCCCUCAACCAGUGAAGGUGAACCUUUUAGAAACUGAGUGCCCAAACUGCAACAUAGAACCUACUUAUUUAUCGCAAAGUGCCAACACUGCCAUUAAACCCGAAUACUGAGGCUUUAGUUUAGAAAAGACAACUCAUAUAAUAAUAUCUUUUGUCUUGAAAGAAAAACAAAUAACACACGUGUCAUAGGUUCACCACCGCUGCCCUAAACCCUCCUGAGUGUGGAAUAGGAGAAGGAGACGUGAAGGCUGUCAAAGUCUGGGCAGGGCCAUUUGCAUCCAGGAUGGCCAUCAGCUGUUUAGGAUGCUGAUCAAGGUCUGCAGGGGUCUCUUUCCGUCUCCGGCUAGAGGAAGGACAUCACAUGGGAUCUCAGCACACAGGACAAUGGUCUCGGGAGUUCUUAAACCAGCAGCACCUCUUCCAAAGGAAGUCAUUUGUACUUUUGACAUGUAGGACCAUUAGUUGGAAGAGAGGCUGAUUUGGAUGGAGGUCAGAGACCUUCAUAGGGUUCCACCUUGCCUUCUCUUGAACCCUGAACCACAAAGUGAGGAAAUUAUGGUUGAGCCUACCAACCAUGUGAGAGAACAAGAAAUGGAGGUUCAGAGAAGUAGAGAAACUUAACAAGGUCACAGAGCAAGUGGUUUGAUGAAUAUCGUUAUCUUUGGAUUUCUGAGGAUCCAUUCCUGGGUCCUUCUAAAGUCCUUGAUGCCCUUUUUGAAAGAAGAUACUCAGUCUACUAGUCAGCUACUAUGAAAAAACUACUCUAAGGUCAGAUGCAACUUCUGGCUUAAUCACAACAGAAUUAAUGUUUGUUCGGUUGCUGGUUUUGUUUUGUGAACUGGCUGAGAUCUGUAGGUGAGUAUUAUGCAUGGGUACCCUUUCCAGGUGCCACUCAUCAAAUGCACACUAUAUGCCAUUACAGGCUGAGUAGAGUCCUUCAUUUCAUUGUAUCAUUGAAUCUCCAUAGGUUGGUGAUGUUGGUAUUACUGAUCCCAUUUGGGGAAAACUGAGGCUCAUGGGAGUGGGAGGCAGGGUUCCCAACCCAUGCCUUUUGCUCAGGGAGUUGCUGUCUCCUUAGAAGGAUGGUAAAGAAAUAUAAAAUAUCUGUCAUGAAUUAGGAAGAAUGUCCUAAAAUCUCAAGGUGCCAUUUAAAGGCAAAGACCAGUGUGGCUCGUGAGGGAAGGAGAGGCCAGACCAGGAGGUGACCACAAGCAGGUACAAGGCAGCCAGGCAUCCCAACGCAAUGCUGUGGUAAGAAAGCAAGGAGUAGAACAGCGUUGUGGAAAGUGAAAACCGCCUAGGAUGUGUGGGAGGCUGGAGGCAGAUGGGUGUGGAUGAGAAGGGCAAUAGGAGGGAUCCUUGUGUGAUGGAAAUGCUCUGUCUUUUCCCUGUAUCCAUGACUUGCCAUGAUAUUGUGGUAUAAGGUAGUUUUGCAAGACGUCGGCAUUGGGGGAAACUGGGUGAAGGGUACGUGAGAAUUCUAUGUGAAUCUAUACAAGUUUAAUUUUUAAAAUAUAUACAGAGUCUACUCCCAAAAAUGUAUAUACACUCCAAGAAAAGAAAUAUAGGAUGAUGUUUUUCCAACCCUCGUAUGGGGAAUCCUAGAGGAUGUCGUAUAUCGCAGAAAACCCACUCCACUGCUAGCCCUUAGAGAAGAAAUUAAAAGUACACGUGCAGCAAUUUCAAUGACCAAGGUUACACAAGCAGUAGUUGGCUGUACUAACAAAGUUCUGGAAGCCAGUGACCACACUUUGGCCACCUCUUGUAACUGUAGAGGCUGAAGGUAACUUACAUUAAACUCAUGAUGUCUCAAUAAAUUUAGUAUUAAAAUAUUUAUACAAGCUUUUCUUUUCUUGAAGUGCAUAUACUUUUUUGGUGAACUCUGUAUAUAUAUGGGAGAGAGAGUGGAGUUCACAGACCCCCAGCCCUUCACCCCUUGCAUGCACUCCAGGAGAAGCUUGCAUGGUGUCUUUUUGCAGCAAGGUAUCUUCAGGUGUCUGUCCUGGAUGCCUUUGGGCAGGACCAAGAGGAAUACAUGCCUGAGAGCUAGGCAGAUGGCACUCGGAGAGACAGAUGGCCAGAAUCCCCAGAGGUGGGAGCACUCACUGAGCACCUACUAGGUGCCAGGUGCUGUUCCAGGGCUAGAGACUGAGGUUAGGAAAGCUGGUGCAGCUUCCCACAGGUUUGCAUUGUACAGUUGAAGACAGAUGUAAACCAGGAACAGGGCAAUGCCAGGUGGUGACAGGUGCUGUGAAGAAGAUGAAAGAGCAGAGUGUGACAGAGUAGCUGGGGGCUGCUUUUGCUGGAGCAGUCAGGGAAGGCUUCUUUGAGGAAAACCUAAGUGAGAAGGAGGCAGCCAUGGGGACAUGUGAGGGAGAGUAUUCUAUGCAGGAGGAAGAGCAGGUGCAGGAUCUCUGAGACAGGAAUAAGCUUGUGCACGAGGGGCAAGAUGAAGACCAUAGGAAGGGAAGCACUGGCAUUGGGAGCUGGAGGGCGAUGAAGCUAAAAAGACAGGCAAAGGCCAGAUCCUAUAGGCAGGUGCUUGCAGAUGUUGGUAAGGAGUUGGUAUUGGGAGUCUCUGGCAGGUCUGAAGUAGGUACAUGGCCAGCUAUGUGUGGAUGGGUUUUAGAAGGGCAGGAGUGGAAAAUAGUAGACCACAUUGUACUACUGCAAUGGUCCAUGCAAGAGGGCAGUGUCAUGAGUAGGGCUUUGGCAUUGGCAUGGGAAACCUGUUGGAUUGGGGUUGCUCUGAGAGGAGAGCUAUCAGAGAUUUGCUGGUGGUUUACACAUGGAUGCGAUGGCAAGAAAAAGAUCCAGGAUGAUUCCCAGGUCUGCUGUUUCAUUCUAUCCCAGCUAACUCCAAAGGACUGGUCAGAGAAUGUCCUUCAGAGAAUAGCACUAAAAAUAGAUGAGAAUUGGGCUGAGCCUCAAAAAGUGUGGGUUGAAGGGGUGACCCCCUCACCAGUUUCACCACUCUGGUCCUUAGGCUCUUUCUUGCUGCAGGGAGCAGACCUGCUCUGCUUUUCUUGUACAUGGAGCUGAUUGUAAGAUGGUGGUGAGGUGAGGGGGUUUGGCAGCCAUCCUGGCAGUGGUCCUGUGACACCCAGGAGAACGGGGGCACAGUCUUCCCCCACCUAAGCAGCUAUCAGCAGACAUCAUAUACUGUCCAUGUCUCCACUGUUCUGAGCCAGCUGUGGUUUGGAGCCCCCUGCAGACAUGCUGCCUCCUCCUUCACUCUCUGGGCUGCACACUCCAGAUGCCCUGCAGGGAGAGUCUCCUAGGAUUGGCUGGUCCAUCCAGGCCAUGUCUGCAGGGCAGAGGGCUCGGGCCAGGCCAUUGCCAAGGCAGCUGGAGUCCUUGAUGCAUCCCCCAAAAGCCAUUGCCUUUGACUUGUUCUGGGCCUAGUUGUGGCCCAAGCAUCAUGGAACAGAAAAUGUGCAUAGCAGCACAAGUGCCCGGGGCUGGGUGUGACCUCCAGAGGUGUGGCAGGCAUUGGCAUAGACGUCCUGGACACAAAAGCUGUGCAAUUCAGGAAGGCCAGUGUCCAGUGGAUGAGAAGGACCUAACAUGUCAGUAAGGUGGACAGCUUCUGUCGGCAAAAGUGGGAGGCACGCAGAAAAUAACCUUGGAUUUGUGUAAUAGUAUCUCUUGUGAUGUGGGAUUAAUUUUAUCUUUGGUGCUGCAUCUUUGGUGGCCCAGGGAACGCUGCAUUUCUCCACUCUCUUCCGUCCAUCAAAGUGGCUCCUCAAAGAGCACUUCUCACAUUCCUCACCCCAAGGAUAGAACAGAAUCACCUCAAGCACAGAACCAUGGCCCUAGGGGACAUGGCCUUCACCUGCUUCCUUUUUAUCUGCCUCGCCUAAUUCAUCUUUCCUUUCUUUUUCUCCCUUAAUCCCUCGAAGUUAGCCAGGGAGGGGCAGAAAGGAAUCUUGGUUUUUGUCUGACUCUAUAGGAGUACAGUUGCUAGAACUGAACUGUGUUUCCCCUAAAUUCCUAGGUUGAGCCCGAAUCCUACUGUAAGUGUAUGUGGACAGAGGCCUUGAGGGGGGAAAGGGUCCUGCAGAGCACUGGUAUUCUUAGGAGAAGAGACGCUAGAGGUUGCUUCCUCCCCUGCACACACAGAGGAAAGUUCAUCGGGGUCAGACAGAAGGCAGAUGUCUACAAGCCAGGAAGAAAGUCCUCACUAGACAGCUAAUCCUCAGAACCUUGAUCUGAGACUCCGCAGCCUCCAGAACUUUGUGAAAUUACAC